rnacentral:tRNA from 1 species
GCCCCCGUGGCGGAAUGGUAGACGCAGUCGACUUAAACUCGACCGCUUCGGCGUGUGGGUUCGAGUCCCACCGGGGGCACCG